rnacentral:piRNA from 1 species
UUAUCCCGUCGAUAAUAAAAA